CUAUGGAGAUUGCAUGGCUGUGUGCUCGGUUUUGUACACCUGUCACCAACGGCUGUGGCUGAAAUAGCCGAAUCCACAAAUUUGAAGAGCUGUCCAUACUUUUGUAAAUAUAGCAGUGUUGUGUUCGAGACCACUUAAAGCGAGAACGAUUCAAGACCAAGACUGGAUGGGCGGCGAGUCCAAUUCAAGACCAUGAUUGUAAUUUUGUCAAAUCACCACCAUAAUAAGAGUGAUUUGAUAAUGAGUUAAAAAUGGCUGCAUAGGACCUUUAAGCUUGUAUUUAAUUGCUCCUCCCCACAACAAACUUCUGAUUACUUUCAGUUACACACUGUCACAAGGGGAGCUAUGGAUGAUUUAAGAUGAAAUCGACAACCCUGUCACGGUCAACCUUGUCAAUUUUCACUUUUAUAGUCAUUUUUCUUCAUUUGACCUCUUGAGAUGGGGAAACAGUUACACUACCCUAAAGGUGCCCUAUUUGUGGAAUGACACAUACUGGAUGUUGUAUGUCAUUAUUGUAACUUACAUUUCUGCACCAUCCAUCCAAUAAAGAGUCUAUGUCCAGCACAUGUCUGUCUGUCAUCUCAUCUUCACUGUGUCAUCCAGUCACUGUGCCCAUCUCUGUCAAUUAGUCCAUAAUGCCAUAACAGAUAACUCACAGUAUUUUCUGUCCGAGGGCCAGACCAGUCCAUGCUGCCUUCAUUUAUACCAGUGUUCAGUGUGUGGUGUAUUAGUAUGACCUCUCAGUGAUCUUUCCCCCUUGACCCUAAGUCUGAACUCUGACCUUUAACCCCUACAUCUGUGUCACUUCACGGCACCCAUACCCCACCUGGCGGUCUACUCUGGCCCCCCUUCUUCUUCCACCUCACCCCCUUUCCCUCUCUGCCUCCCCAACACCCCCGCCUGCUCUUCACCCAUCAGCGUAACCAUAGAUAGCACCCCCGCCUCAGAACGUAGGUGGGAGGGAACGGGGGGAGGUGGGGUGGAGGGGGGAGAGGUCGACAUUGAGAGCCGGGGGACUGCUGUCUCUUCUCGUUCACGUAUGGCUCUCUCAUUGGGCCGUCUGUUGAGAGGGGGCUGUACUCCCUCCACAGUAUUCCCCAGCAUUACGCCAAAAUGUCCUGCCCUCUUCGGGACAAGCAGCCGCGUUCAGCCUAUCAGCAUGGAGCAGCCCAGCCCAGGCGCAUUGCCAAUUUUUUUCCAGAUCAAGGUGGACAUCCCUCCAGAGUGUCGUAUCUACCCCCGUUGACUCUGAGGAUGAGGUGGAGAGAUGGGGGCAUUGAGAGGGGGAGGGCAGGUGAAGGAGAUCAUCUGUCCCUGGGAAAGUCUAACACCUUAUGAUGGGGCCGGGUAAUGCACACACACACACACACACACAUUAACGAGCAUGCGCACACACACACACACAUUAACGUGCAUGCGCACACACACACAUUAUUGCUGACAUUUCCAAAGUAUAAUCCGUUACAGUUACUUGUUACCUGUCCAAAAUCAGUAAUGUAGGAUUUGGAUUACUCAAACUCAGUAAUGUAAUCUGAUUACGUAGUUAUUUUGGGAAUACUUUCCACCUCAGAAGCGUUAGAAGACGUGUGUCAUCAUAGUGGUCGCUGACUUGUCAGACUCGCUCAGGUGGAACAAUCCGAAAGUAGAACAUUUCAAUGCUUGAAUAGAAUAUCGCUGAGAAAACAGAAAGGUGUCAGAAUGUCUUUUUAUUUUAAAAGUAAUCCAACAAGUAAUCAUCUAGUUUUUCUAAAGUAUCUGUAAUCUGAUUACAAUAAUUUGCUGGAAACAUCGGUCGGUUACUCCCCAACCCUGUUAAUGUACACAGAUACAGACACACACACUCUCUCUCACACACACACACACACAUACAUACAUACAUACUGUGGCGUACAGCAGGUCAGCCACCAGGGGAGACUCGUCGAGGCCUGGUAACAGAUGGAGUAUACAUCACGAGGCGGGGGCUCCAUCUGCUGGACGUGCCAGGUCUCGACGGGCUCUCCGGACAGGACUAAUUGGGUCUGAUUGGGAGCUGGUGAGUAAUCAAGGGCGGAUUGCUCACCAGCUGUGCGAGGCCCAUAAAGCUGCCAGAAGGGCAGCACACAUGGAGAGGACUAGGGGAAGUGAGGUGACUUCCAUGUGGUUGGAUUCGGUUACCCGAGGAAGUUGAGUUUGUGUGCCCGACAGGAUGACUCGGAGCCCAGGAGACGGUAUCCCGGAGAGGGUCUCAUGAGGGAGACCUGUUCUUUUCUUUUUUGAUUUAUUAUUUAAUAAACACCCUUGAAACCGA